GACGAACGCUGGCGGCGUGCCUAACACAUGCAAGUCGAGCGGUAAGGCCCUUUCGGGGGUACACGAGCGGCGAACGGGUGAGUAACACGUGGGUGACCUGCCCUUAGCUCUGGGAUAAGCCUGGGAAACUGGGUCUAAUACCGGAUAUGACUCCAUGACGCAUGUUGUGGGGUGGAAAGCCUUGUGCGGCUAGGGAUGGGCCCGCGGCCUAUCAGCUUGUUGGUGGGGUGAUGGCCUACCAAGGCGACGACGGGUAGCCGGCCUGAGAGGGCGACCGGCCACACUGGGACUGAGACACGGCCCAGACUCCUACGGGAGGCAGCAGUGGGGAAUCUUGCGCAAUGGGCGAAAGCCUGACGCAGCGACGCCGCGUGGGGAUGACGGCCUCGG
rnacentral:rRNA from 1 species